CUGGGGAUGAAAUAUUCCUGGUGAUACAAAAUUGCAAACCACAGCUCAGCUAAUGGGGAGACCUCCUCCUUGGAUAAGAAUCAGGUUGUAAUUUUAAAAUGCUGAUUAGUGCACACACAGGGCACGAAGAGGGGAAGUUGGAAACGAGACAUCCUGUCUGAUGCAACCCUCCUGUCACCUGGUAUGGUUGCCCUUGACACUCAACCAUCUAUAAUUAGAGAAACUACUAGGGUCAGAAUGGGACCUCAGAAAGAGCUGCACCAUAAUGGACCGGAUGAUAGUGGCACUUGGACAGAGAGCACAGGAAGAAGGGCCUGGGACGUGGAGGUGGGGACCGGGAGGGUGACGUGUCACGACCUGCAGAAGAUGAAGGGGUCAGCCCUGCAGUUCUAAGGUGGGAGGGGAGGGGUUGGGUCAUUUCUGGAAGAGAUGAUUUGACCGGACUGGCAAGCCGGAAGCCCCAGGGCAGAUGUAUGAUGGGCGAGGGGCACAAUGGAGCUUGUUUUGUUUGCUUGCACAGCCUGUAAGAUCAGCAUAGUUUGUGUGAGACACCAAGACUGCAGCAAAGGAGCGCUCGCAGUUAGGGGCCCUCGCCCCCAGAUGGAACCGUUCUCCGGGACUUCCUGAUAGAACAUGCAGGGGCUAGCAACAAAAACCAACAACCACCCUACCGUCCCCCAGCUGAGAAGUAAGAGGAACAGUGGGAUUUCAUGAAAUGGCGACCUGCUGUCUUUACCCUCCGCCUUUCCUCUCCUCUGUCUUUUUUUUUUUUUUUUCCCUCCACAAUGUUCUUCUAAGACAACAAGGAAAAUUACAGGUUCU
rnacentral:lncRNA from 1 species